rnacentral:lncRNA from 1 species
GUACAUGUCUCUUCAACCAUAUGAAGUGUUUGGUAAUAGAAAAUUAUAAUAAUAUACAUUUCUCAGUAUAUAUUGCUCAAACACACUUGUUAAUCUUCAUUAGGGACUAAAAUGGAUGGGAAGACAAUACUCAAUCACUCCAAUAGGGCCAACAAUUCCAUCAACCUACAUGGACAAGAGGGUGAAGGAUAACAAAGAUUAUGGCCUCAGCCUCUUCAAACCUGAUACAGAAAGUUGCAUGGAUUGGCUGGACUCUAGGGAAACUUGCUCAGUAGUCUAUGUGUCCUUUGGAAGCUUGUCUACCUUGAAAGAAAAGCAGAUAGAAGAAAUAGCAUGUGGCCUGAAAAGAAGCAACCAUUAUUUCCUGUGGGUAGUUAGAGAAAUUGAGAAGGAAAAAAUCCCAAGCAGCUUCUUAGAUGAGACAUCAGAGAAGGGUCUAGUGGUGACUUGGUGUCCACAGUUACAAGUCCUAGCUCAUAAGGCAGUGGGGUGCUUCAUGACUCAUUGUGGGUGGAACUCAACUCUUGAGGCCAUGAGCUUGGGAGUGCCAAUGGUGGCAAUGCCACAGUGGGCAGAUCAAACAACUAAUGCGAAAUUUGUCACUGAUGUGUGGAGAGUAGGGGUUAGGGUUAAGGUCGGAGAAGAAGGAAUCGUCGCGAAAGAAGAAAUAGAUCUACGUAUACGAGAAGCCAUGGAAGGAGAGACUGCCAUUGAGAUUAGAAAGAAUUGCCAGAAAUGGGAGAAAUUAGCUAAAGAAGCAGUAGAUGAAGGAGGAAAUUCUGAAAAGAACAUUGAGAAAUUUGUAGCAAAACUAGCUACCUAAUUAAGGCUUAAAAAUUUUCAUUAAAGAAUGGAAAUCUGCAAAUAUAAUAACUAUGCCAUGUCAAUAAAUAACUCUAUAUUGUAAUAUGAUGAAUAAACUGUAAAAAUUUAUUUCACUCAAAGUUAAUUUUGAAAAAAUAAAUUGAAAUAUUAUCAUAUCUGAAUUAUAUUUUUAAUUAUUUUUAUUUCGCUCAAUAUUAAUAUUGAAAAAAUAAAUUGAAAUAUUAUCGUAUCUGAAUUGUGUCUUUAAUUUUUUUUUUUUAAAGAUCUUGUAUUAAUAGCAAGAAUGUUUAAUUAUUGUGUGAAUUAUAUUACCGUAUCUGAACUUCCAUGCAACAGUGCUGCCUAUCUCCAAACUGAUGUACAAAUUGAAGUGGUGAAUUGCUUGGCAAUUUUCUGCACUGCAUCUGCAAUAACAAGAAACUGCUUUGGAUCUUGCUCUUACUAAAGUAGAAUUUUCUUACAACAGUGCUGUCCACAGCUCCACAAAGAUAUCACCGUUUACUGUUGUGUACAGGAAAAAGUCCCAGUGCAUACAGUUGAUCUUAUUGCCCUUCGCACAAGUGCUCACAACAGUAUUGCAACAAGGAACUUGGCAAAGCAGCACGUGGAUAUUUUUAAACAUGUACAACAAUGUCUUAUAUAAGCCAAUGACAAAUAUAAAGCUACGGUUGAUAAAUAUAGGCGUUUCAAGUCCUUCAAUGUCGGUGACCAAGUUAUAGUAUAUUUACGCAAGGAGCGUGGUGGAUGACAAAAAAAUCUUGACGCCAAGAAGAUUGGUCCAUUUCGGAUUAUUCAGAAGAUCAAUGAUAAUGCCUAUAUUCUUGACCUCCCACAUGAGAUGAAAAUUUUCAAUACAUUUAAUGUGGCGGAUCUAUUUCAGUACUACCCUGCUGAUAACAACUCGAGGUCGAAUUCUUUACAAGUGGAAGGGAAUGAUGAAACAGUCGGCCCAAACUGACCCAAAUAACUUUUGAACCCACUUUCACUUGGUCCAAAAUGGUUAACUCAAGUUAUUUAGUAGUUUCAUGCUAACUAUUAUAUACAAUUUAGAUUUUCUAUAAUCUGACGAUGUGGGACGGAAGCCGCAGGCAAGCAGCUGACCGUUACACUCGGUCCCGCUAAAUUUGUGAUACCCUCAUCGCAACUGAAUCGGAUAUAAUUGCUAACCAGGACUGGACCCUUGGAUAUUGUGGUUCGCUAGUACUUCGGGUGACUCUACCUCGUCUCUCACGGGUAGCCCUUUCCUCACAGGCCCACUAGCUCCGCACAAUUUGUCUGAUCCAGGGUGGCUCUAAUACCAAUUGAAACAACCCUGCCCAUACUGACCCAAAUAACUUUUGGACCCACUUUCCACUUAGUCAAAAAUGGUUAACCCAAGUUAUUUAGUAGUUUUAUGCUAUCUAUUAUAUACAAUUUAGAUUUUCUAUAAUCUGACGAUGUGUGGGACGGUCAGCUGUCUACGGAAGCCGCAAGCAGGCAGCCGACCGUUACACUCGGUCCCGCUAAAUUUGCGAUACUCUCAUCGCAACUGAAUCGGAUACAAUUGCUAACCAAGACUGGACCCUUGGGUAUUGUGGUUCGCUAGUACCUCGGGUGGCUCCACCUCGUCUCUCACGGGUAGCCCUUUUCUCGCAGGCCUACUAGUUCCGCACAAUUUGUCUGACCCAAGGUGGCUCUGAUAUCAAUUGAAACAGCCGGUCCAAACUGACCUAAAUAACUUUUGGACCCACUUUCCACUUGGUCCAAAAUGGUUAACCCAAGUUAUUUAGUAGUUUUAUGCUAGCUAUUAUAUACAAUUUAGAUUUUUUAUAAUAUGACGAUGUGUAGGACGGUCAGCUGUCUGCGGAAGCCGCAAGCAGGCCGCUAGCUAUUAUAAAUGACAUGGAGCAACUAGUCUUGGACUUUAUGGCAGACUUGGACCGGACCUAACUUUGCUGUCGACGUCUGAUAGAGAUUCAUGAUAGCUCUUCGAAAAGGGAAUUUCAAGACGCACGACUUUCAAAAGUGUGACGAGGGUCAUAAACCUAGUUAAAAAGUUCGAUAUUGAAAUUCCAUCAUUUAGGGGGUCAAUUUUGUAUUUUAAUUAUUUUAUUGGAUAUUUUAAAUAUUUACGUAAUUUUGCAUAUUAGGGUUUUAUUUCUAUUAUAAAUAGCCUCCCUUGGCUAUUAGAAACUCAUUUUGCAAUCUUUGAAAAUUUUCAAUAAGACUCUUCAUCUUUUAGCCUAUCAUUUCUCUUAUAUCGUAUUAGCCAUAUAAUAUUGAUUAAAACUCCUGACGGAGUUUAAUUAGUCAUUUAUCCCUACACCCAGACCGAAAUUCAGAAGCAUCUUGCACUCAUCAUCGGCUUCCAUCAGAAAGAAAGGUUGGCCCAUAGCGUUUCUAGUCUACUAUAAUCAUGGAGACGCUCAAAUAAGCCUAAAGAAAGCUAUGUGAUGACCACUGGGCCAUUAGCAUUUGGGCCGUAGUUGAGCCCUUGUAUGAGAGUCUGGGCUGUAAUCGAACCCUUGUACAAGAGUCAGGCCCAAAAUCCAUCAGAGUCCACUAUGUAAGAUGACUCAUUAGUGCGCAACCCCAUCCCCAAUCGAGCAGACCGGGCUGACCGGGGCCAGGGCUCCUCAGAAGGGGAUCCAACUCCUCUAACGUGAUAGGGGAGUAGGAAAACAGGCCCAGCUAUACCACGAUCCUAGUAGCACGAGGGCCGAAGGGGAAUUAAAUGGCCGCCUGACAGUGGUGAGAAGGCAGGUAUGUUCGUAUAUACAGUUCUAUAUGACAAUGACAAUAACAGUGACAGAUGGCACUGUAGCAGGGUGACGGUUAUGCGUCACUACUAGAGAAUAAGGAAACAGAGAAAUAAAAGAGAAAGGCAUGAACCGUUCAGGUUAAGUUUUCUCGUACAGAUAGAAACUCUACUUAUUUUUAGAUCUCAGAUCACAUUGAGUUGUCAUCGAUCCUCACCCCCUCAAAAAUUGCCGGACACAGCAGGACCAAAACAGAUACCAAAUUAAACAAAACAACAACCAAACCAUACGAAAACUCAAACCCAUACUCUGAGACAAAUUAAACAAACAGAAAUGGAAACAAGAGAAGGCUAACAACUUCUCUGUUUCGCUUUCUAUCCUCUAUUGUAUAGUUUUACUUUUUUUUUUUUAUAAAAUGAUUAUCCUAGACAGAGAAGGUGUAAGAAUAAUGAGAGUGAAUAUAGAAACGUAAGCUGGCUGUAGAACAAAUUGUAAUAAGUUUAAUUUACACGACUUUGAAUUUUAAAAGUUAAAUCAUAACCUUUUUAGUCAAUAAAUUUUGAAAAUCCUUUUUGGUAAUUAAGUAAUCUGAAGUUCCCUUGCUCAAAAGCUUGAAUUUUUUAAUCGGUUAGGUAUGAAUUAAUUUAUAUCUUUGUAUAACACAAUGUUUUCAUUUAAAAAGAGUUAAAAUAUACAUUUAACUAUUAAAAUUACUUUUUUAAAAUUUUUAUUAAAAAUUUAAUAGCUAAAUAAUAAUUUAUUAAAAAUAAAUUUAUAUUCAAUUUAUUUCCUCUUAAAAUUUAAAUUUAAUUCAAGAGACCACCUCUAGCAUUCCAUCCUUUAUAAUAGAAAGAAUUAUUAUUUAGCCUAAAUUCAUUGAUUAAUUUUUUUAAUUUUAAAAAAUAUAUUAAAACGUCUCUAAUAUUUUAAAAAAUUUAUAAUAUUUUAAAAAAUUUAUAAUUAGUUUUUCGGUUAAUUUUAUCAUUAAGUAUUAAUAAAUUUAUUAGUUGGUCACUCGUAUUCUUAAAAAUUUUACUAAUUAAUUUUUUAAUAUUAAAGACAUUUUAAACUUUUUUACAACACUUAAAAAUUAAUUAAUAAAUUUUUUAAAAUAUUAAUAAAAUAUUAAUAUAUUUUUAAAAUCGAGGAAAUAAUUUAUAAAUUUCUCUAUCACAGUAAUUAAAUAGUAAUUUUUUUUUAUAAUAAAUGCAAACAGGAGUAAAUAAAAUGAAUAAGUAGAUAACUUGAAUAUUCCAACCAAAUCUGUAAGAAGAUAUUUAGAAUAUAUAGCAAGUACAAAGUGAGUUUGAAGGGCUAUAUAUUUCUAUAUGCAAUUUAAAUAAUAACAAUAAUAAUAAUAAUAAAAUAUCCAAGUUGGUUGAAAAUAUUUAUAGAUUGAUGGUAAUUAGCCUUCCCGUGAUAUCCUGUCCUCCGUAGAUUGAUGGCUUUCCAGCUUUCCCCAGAAAAAAAAAAAAACAAAAAGAAUUGAAUUAGGUCAAUAGACCACCGCCAUUAAGCCUGAUUAAGCCAAAUUUUGUUGGAUGGUAAAUAUUAAGGAGACCAACAAUGGAUGGAUACAAGAAGCUUGCUAAGGAGACCAUAGACCAACAAUGGAUGGAUAGAAGAAGCUUGCUAAGGAGACCAUCCACUUCUUUUCUGCAAAAUUAGAAACACUAUAUAUGCGUCCAUCCAUUGCAUGCCUUGGAUUGGGAUUUUUUCUGAACAAUACUUUCAACAAUAAUAUCGGAUACAUCCUUAUAUGUAUGCUUAAUAUUCAAAUACUAUGCAUGCACAAAGGGAGAGUGAGGGAGAGUCGGAGGGAGCUAAGAGAAUCCUCAAGGAACUAAUGGGGAGCCAACAGAGAGUCGCCGCCGAAACUCAUAUCCUAGCACUUCCAAUGCCUUUUCAAGGACACAUGAACCCUAUGCUCCAAUUCUCCAAACGCCUAGCCUCCAAAGGACUCAAAGUCACUCUACUCAACUUCACAGACAAGCAAUGGUCCAAAUCUGAAGAACAUGGGUCUGUCAAUGUCGAGUUAAUCUUCGAUGAUACUAUUUUUUCUGCGGUUUCUGGUCAAGAAGACGACGAUAUAAUGAGCGGCUACGUAUAUCUAAAAAACUUGUAUGCUGCAGUUAAGAGGAGAUUACCCGAAGUCGUAGCGAAACAUGGUGAGUCUGGCUACCCAAUAAGCUGCCUCGUGUAUGACUCGGUGAUGCCUUGGGCUCUAGACAUAGCCAAGCAGCUUGGGCUCUUUGGGGCUGUUCUCUUCACCCAAUCUUGUGCUGUUACUCAAAUAUAUUACGAAGUUUAUCAAGGGAAGCUAAAGGUUCCUGUUGAGAAGGCACAUGUAGAAUUAGAAGGAAUGCCUCCACUUGAAAUUUAUGAUCUGCCCACUUUCCUUUACGACUUGGAAAAUUAUCCUAUCUCUUUAAGCCUAAGCACCAGCCAGUUUUUCAAUAUUGAAGAAGCUGAUUGGGUGUUUUUCAACACUUUCAACAGCUUGGAGGAUGAGGUACAUGUCUCUUCAACCAUAUGAAGUGUUUGGUAAUAGAAAAUUAUAAUAAUAUACAUUUCUCAGUAUAUAUUGCUCAAACACACUUGUUAAUCUUCAUUAGGGACUAAAAUGGAUGGGAAGGCAAUACUCAAUCACACCAAUAGGGCCAACAAUUCCAUCAACCUACAUGGACAAGAGGGUGAAGGAUAACAAAGAUUAUGGCCUCAGCCUCUUCAAACC